UCAGUCACAUCCUCAGCCCCAGCCUCUGCCACUGUCGCAGUCAGAAUCACAGUCGCAACCACUACAACCUCUUUGCAACAAUAUGACUCCAACCUUGAGCUCUUCCUAACAAAGUAAUCAUGAAUUGCAGUCAUCAAGUGGAGCAGUUUCAAUAGCUACCAGCACGGGUUAAUCAGCAAUUAGACAGACAAGAGGGGCUGGUCGUCCUUUUGCUAGAUGGGGCACGGGACAAAAGUUAAAGGUUACAUUAAAUGAAGAGAAUCAACCUAUUGGCGAUGAAGCUGCAAAAUUACAAAGUCAGUUAGGCAUUCUAGCCCAGAAUGGGAAUUUUGCACCAUUAACUUUCAAUGAUUGGAGAGCUCCACAGUUAAACCCCUAUAAAGAACGUAUAUGGCAGGAAGUUAAGGAAAACACUGAUGCACCAGAUAUUUUCAAGCAUAAUUGCUUGAUGUCAGUUGGAAAGAAAUGGAAAGACUGGAAA